CUGAAGAUGGGAACGCUGAGACACUGCCUCCCGAUCUCCUAGGUGACAGGAGCUUGUGUCACUAAUUGGUCCCCGAGCCUGCGGCACCGGUGACGCGAUGGGGCUGAAAGGCAGCAAUUACAGCUGAAGGGAUUCGGUAAAGAAUUCGGUGAGAACGAAAGUUGGGCGUGCACACAGGGGAUUUAAUCUGUGUUUGUUCACACAGACCUGUUGUCUAGCGAGUUACUCUGAAGAGGAGCCUCGGGCUGCAGGAUUAAUUAAUGCUGGUUCAUGCACUACUCCCAGAUAUUAAGAAACACAUUGUAAGAAGUCUGUCUCCUCGAAAUAAGGUGUGGACGCACAGCAGAGGCUGGCUGCUCUCCAGUGCUGCUGCUCUCCUGCUCUGGGUGACCUUCAAAGAGCAGCAGUCCAAGUUGGAUUGUUCUGGGACAAAGGCUUGUUCCCAUGGCCUGGGACUCAGUGUCCAUGGGACACUCAGCCACUCACUGACCUCACUUCCUCCGCCUUCCCAAGGGCUUUAUAAGCAUAAGCCAGCAGCAGGGACAAUCUGUGACAGGACAGCCAAAUCUGCUGUUGUAACCAGCACCACAUUCCGUAGUCCUGUGCUGAAACAGGGCCAUGCAGUGUCUGGCUGCCUUGUUCCAGUGCCUGGCUCUGCCCAUGAGGAUCAGGAAGAUCCUGCCCAGAGGUGA
rnacentral:lncRNA from 1 species